rnacentral:lncRNA from 1 species
UCCAUAAAGAGAAACAGCUGCAAUGCAUUGCAUCAAAAGCCUAUUCAGCCCAGCAGCCUUUCUAACAGUAGCAGUGGCGGAUGCUCCAAUAUGAAUGUAAGAACAGAGCAUCUAUGCCUUGCCUGGUUCAUCUCCCCAGCCUCUGGCAGUCAGCACUUGAAAAGCUUCCCAUUUUGCUAAUCUAGGAUUUAUUUCUAAGAUUACACCUUCCAGCAAAACCUGCAGAAUGAGGAUGCUUUUCAGGGAUGUAUAAAGAAACGUCUGGACUCUUUGUUUUUGCAAAGCUGAUGCCACAGUUUAAAUAGUGCUAGUACCUGACAGAGCUCUUCUCUCACCUGGGACACUUCAUCCUCCAGGGACAAAGGAUUACACCACGGAGAAGGGAAUGUGAGUCCCUGACCUGCGGCGCUGAGUGACAAACUGCCACGAGGUGUUUUCUGUCCUGCCCCAUCCUCCAAGGCAGCUCACAGGCACAGGGAACUGCACAGAUUUGCCUUGGCCAGGAAGGAAGAACUUCACUCCUAGUGGACUCAGCUGUGAUGAAAGGCACUGCAUUUUGCUCUAGUGCAGAAAGCAAAACAGGAGCAAGGGGACAGGGCUGCAGUCUUACUUCUCUGAAAGAUGAUUCCUUGCAGUGAUGCUGUCACAGGGGGCUGCACAGUGUGACUUUGGAUCUGUGCUACCUAAGAAAAAGCCCCCUCUGGUGUGGAUGCUGUCUCUGUGAAGGUCCCCGGCCUGCAUACUGCACAAACAUUGUGGGGAGCUCACCACAAAGAUGAAAACUUCGUAGAGAAUGGCUUUACCCGUCCUCACUGUCACCAGCCUCCCUGGGAACAGCCUAGCCUGUGGCCAACAGGGAAAAAGUAGUUAAGGACAACAUGGUACCACCCCCCCCUUACACUGUCUUGGAUUAUCAGAUAUUUAUCAUCCUCUGCUUUCUAAAUGAUCCUUAAUGUUGGACCUCUUGGAUUAUGAGAGGAACCUCAAAGAGACUGAGAAUAAUGUGAAAGUGGUGAGGAGAAAAUGAAAAGAAAGGCAAGCACCGUGACAGAGAAGAGAUCCAAUUUUCCUAAGUGUCUAAGGGACUUAUGAGAUCAAAUCUCUUGUAGGCUGAAGUCACUGGGGGUGAUUCUCAUAAUUUACCCAAUUUAGCAGGAAAAAAAUAAAAACAGGAUAUAAGCUUGGCA